CUAACGGCUGAACCAGCAACUUGGAGGAAUGUAUAGCUACGGCUAAUUGUGUAUAACUACACGAUAUCGACUCUGUCGAAUAAAAUUCUGGGUAAAUUAUGAUGAUGACAUUUUUUACCUAUGUGUCUUGACCAAAUUGUGUGCCAGCAGUCGCGGUAAUACAUAGAAGACUAGUGUUAUUCAUCUUUAAUAGGUUUAAAGGGUACCUAGACGGUAGAUCAAGCCCUAUACGGGACUAAUUUGCUAGAGUUACUUAUGAGGGGGCUUUAAAGUACUAAUGGUGUAGAGAUAAAAUUUUGUAAUACCAUUUUUCGUAAAGAAAAAUUAUGGCACUGGUAAAGGUGAAAGCAUCCCCCUAUGGAG
rnacentral:rRNA from 1 species